GACGAACGCUGGCGGCGUGCCUAACACAUGCAAGUCGAACGAGGUCCAAGGGAGCUUGCUCCCUGAAGACCUAGUGGCGAACGGGUGAGUAACACGUAAAGAACCUGCCCUCAGGUCUGGGAUAACCACGAGAAAUCGGGGCUAAUACCGGAUGGGUCAUCGGACCGCAUGGUCCGAGGAGGAAAGGCGCUCCGGCGUCGCCUGGGGAUGGCUUUGCGGUGCAUUAGCUAGUUGGUGGGGGAAUGGCCCACCAAGGCGACGAUGCAUAGCCGACGUGAGAGGGUGAUCGGCCACACUGGGACUGAGACACGGCCCAGACUCAUACGGGAGGCAGCAGUAGGGAAUCUUCCAAAAUGGACGAAAGUCUGAUGGAGCAACGCCGCGUGAACGAUGAAGGCCUUCGGGUCGUAAAGUUCUGUUGUAAGGGAAGAACAAGUGCCGCAGGCAAUGGCGGCACCUUGACGGUACCUUGCGAGAAAGCCACGGCUAACUACGUGCCAGCAGCCGCAGUAACAC
rnacentral:rRNA from 1 species